ensembl:lncRNA
AUUUUAUCUCAAAUUAAAUAGUUUUCUUUCUCUUUAAAAGCAGUUUUUUUUCUUUCUCUUUAUUUAAUGCUUGAGUUAAAGCUCUAGAGUCAUGUAAUAUUGAUUAGAGACUUCUAUAGCCUGAUUUAAACACUGUAAAGACAUACGUCUAUAUGAAGAUAUCCUGAAGCAAUAAAGAAAAAAUCAUCACAUUACAUAGACAAGAUCACUCUAUGUAAUAUAUUGGUUUGUUACUGGUUGUUGUCACGGAUCAAUUUCAUUAUAUUGCACCACGAUCAUAUCAUUCAAAAGGAAAAACUAUACUGCAGAGGAGAUGAACACCUCCAUCCAUGUGCUUUAACGGACUACUUUGUGGCACAGGACUGGACAUAAGACUGGACACGAGACUGGACAUAAGACAGGACACAGGACACAAAGCCAAGAGAGCACCAGAACAAAGAGAAACGUACAAAAAGAGUAGCAAUACGAAAGAGACAUCUAAAAGAUAACAACAAAGAUGGACACCCUGGAUCCCUCUGCUCUCGCAGGUGGAAUGCAACAGGAAAGGGUGACGAUGAGCGGUUUCCUGUGGAAAACAUUUUCUAUGUGAUAUUCUUCAAAGUUGUCAUCCUUUGCCUUGGUGACAGCUUUGCACACGAUUGGCAUUCCCUCAAACAGCUUCACCUGGAAUGCUUUUCCAAAAGUCUUGAAGGAGUUCCCACAUAUGCUGAGCACUUGUU